GACGAACGCUGGCGGCGUGCUUAACACAUGCAAGUCGAACGGAAAGGCCCUGCUUUUGUGGGGUGCUCGAGUGGCGAACGGGUGAGUAACACGUGAGUAACCUGCCCUUGACUUUGGGAUAACUUCAGGAAACUGGGGCUAAUACCGGAUAGGAGCUCCUGCUGCAUGGUGGGGGUUGGAAAGUUUCGGCGGUUGGGGAUGGACUCGCGGCUUAUCAGCUUGUUGGUGGGGUAGUGGCUUACCAAGGCUUUGACGGGUAGCCGGCCUGAGAGGGUGACCGGCCACAUUGGGACUGAGAUACGGCCCAGACUCCUACGGGAGGCAGCAGUGGGGAAUAUUGCACAAUGGGCGGAAGCCUGAUGCAGCAACGCCGCGUGCGGGAUGACGGCCUUCGGGUUGUAAACCGCUUUCGCCUGUGACGAAGCGUGAGUGACGGUAAUGGGUAAAGAAGCACCGGCUAACUACGUGCCAGCAGCCGCGGUGAUACGUAGGGUGCGAGCGUUGUCCGGAUUUAUUGGGCGUAAAGGGCUCGUAGGUGGUUGAUCGCGUCGGAAGUGUAAUCUUGGGGCUUAACCCUGAGCGUGCUUUCGAUACGGGUUGACUUGAGGAAGGUAGGGGAGAAUGGAAUUCCUGGUGGAGCGGUGGAAUGCGCAGAUAUCAGGAGGAACACCAGUGGCGAAGGCGGUUCUCUGGGCCUUUCCUGACGCUGAGGAGCGAAAGCGUGGGGAGCGAACAGGCUUAGAUACCCUGGUAGUCCACGCUGUAAACGGUGGGUACUAGGCGUGGGGUCCAUUCCACGGGUUCCGUGCCGUAGCUAACGCUUUAAGUACCCCGCCUGGGGAGUACGGCCGCAAGGCUAAAACUCAAAGGAAUUGACGGGGCCCCGCACAAGCGGCGGAGCAUGCGGAUUAAUUCGAUGCAACGCGUAGAACCUUACCUGGGUUUGACAUGGAUCGGGAGUGCUCAGAGAUGGGUGUGCCUCUUUUGGGGUCGGUUCACAGGUGGUGCAUGGCUGUCGUCAGCUCGUGUCGUGAGAUGUUGGGUUAAGUCCCGCGACGAGCGCAACCCUUGUUCACUGUUGCCAGCACGUUAUGGUGGGGACUCAGUGGAGACCGCCGGGGUCAACUCGGAGGAAGGUGGGGAUGACGUCAAGUCAUCAUGCCCCUUAUGUCCAGGGCUUCACGCAUGCUACAAUGGCUGGUACAGAGAGUGGCGAGCCUGUGAGGGUGAGCGAAUCUCGGAAAGCCGGUCUCAGUUCGGAUUGGGGUCUGCAACUCGACCUCAUGAAGUCGGAGUCGCUAGUAAUCGCAGAUCAGCAACGCUGCGGUGAAUACGUUCCCGGGGCU
rnacentral:rRNA from 1 species